AUUGAACGCUGGCGGCAUGCUUUACACAUGCAAGUCGAACGGCAGCGCGGGCUUCGGCCUGGAGGCGAGUGGCGAACGGGUGAGUAAUGCAUCGGAACGUGCCCAGUAGUGGGGGAUAGCCCGGCGAAAGCCGGAUUAAUACCGCAUACGACCUGAGGGUGAAAGCGGGGGACCGAAAGGCCUCGCGCUAUUGGAGCGGCCGAUGUCGGAUUAGCUAGUUGGUGGGGUAAAGGCUUACCAAGGCGACGAUCCGUAGCUGGUCUGAGAGGACGACCAGCCACACGGGGAAGGGGACACGGCCCAGACUCCGAGGGGAGGCAGCAGGGGGGAAUUUUGGAAAAGGGGGGCAACCCUGAUCCAGCCAGGCCGGGGGGGGGAAGAAGGCCUUGGGGUUGUAAACUGCUUUUGUAGGGAAAAAAACCCUUUGGGCUAAUACCGGGGGGGCAUGAAGGUACCGAAAGAAUAAGCACCGGCUAACUACGUG
rnacentral:rRNA from 1 species